rnacentral:rRNA from 1 species
GACGAACGCUGGCGGCGUGCUUAACACAUGCAAGUCGAGCGAGAGAGUUUUCUUCGGAAAACAAUCUAGCGGCGGACGGGUGAGUAACACGUGGGUAACCUGCCUCAUAGAGGGGGAUAGCCUCCCGAAAGGGAGAUUAAUACCGCAUAACAUCAUUUUAGCGCAUGCUGAAAUGAUCAAAGGAGUAAUCCGCUAUGAGAUGGACCCGCGGCGCAUUAGCUAGUUGGUGAGGUAACGGCUCACCAAGGCCACGAUGCGUAGCCGACCUGAGAGGGUGAUCGGCCACAUU